UCUGACCAGGAGAUGAAAGACAGCCCAGACUCAACAUAGGUUGUCAAUAUCUGAAAUCUGUAUUUCACAGCACAUACUUAUAGGGCAUUUGGGGGUGGGAACAUAAUGUCCUUACAGAUUCAAUUUCA